UACGUAGGGUGCAAGCGUUAAUCGGAAUUACUGGGCGUAAAGCGUGCGCAGGCGGUGAUGUAAGACAGAUGUGAAAUCCCCGGGCUCAACCUGGGAACUGCAUUUGUGACUGCAUCGCUGGAGUACGGCAGAGGGGGAUGGAAUUCCGGCGUGUAGCAGUGAAAUGCGUAGAUAUGCGGAGGAACACCGAUGGCGAAGGCAAUCCCCUGGGCCUGUACUGACGCUCCAUGCACGAAAGCGUGGGGAG
rnacentral:rRNA from 1 species